AACAGGGAUAGAGCAGUGGUAGCUCGUCGGGCUCAUAACCCGAAGGUCACAGGUUCGAGUCCUGUUCCCGCUA
rnacentral:tRNA from 1 species